rnacentral:rRNA from 1 species
AUUGAACGCUGGCGGCAGGCUUAACACAUGCAAGUCGAGCGAGCGGCGGACGGGUGAGUAAUGUCUGGGAAACUGCCUGAUGGAGGGGGAUAACUACUGGAAACGGUAGCUAAUACCGCAUACCUUCAACUGUGCCCAGAUGGGAUUAGCUAGUAGGUGGGGUAAUGGCUCACCAAGGCGACGAUCCCUAGCUGGUCUGAGCGGAUGACCAGCCACACUGGAACUUAGACACGGUGCAGACUCCUACGGGAGGAAUCAGUGGGGAAUAUUGCACAAUGGGCGCAAGCCUGAUGCAGCCAUGCCGCGUGUGUGAGGAAGGCCUUCGGGUUGUAAAGCACUUUCAGCGAGGAGGCGUUACUCGCAGAAGAAGCACCGGCUAACGCCGUGCCAGCAGCCGCGGUAAUUC